rnacentral:rRNA from 1 species
UUAAGUAGGAAAGGGCGUACGGUGAAUGCCUGGCCACCUGGGACUGAAGAAGGACGCACCAAACGGCGAAACGCUGCGGGGAGCUGUAAGGAAGCAAAGAUCCGCAGAUAUCCGAAUGGGGGAACCCGUCAUCCAGGAGGGAUGACACCGGAUACCGAACACAUAGGUAUCACGGGAGGAACUCGGGGAACUGAAACAUCUAAGUACCCGAAGGAAAAGAAAACAAAAGUGAUUUCCUGAGUAGCGGCGAGCGAAAGGGAAGCAGCCCAAACCGUUUUUAGGAACGGGGUUGAAGGACCACGAUAACAUCAAGAGCGAGUCUAGUGGAAUGACAUGGAAAGGUCAGCCGAAGAGGGUGAGGGCCCCGUAGACGAAAGAUGAGCGAAGGUGAGUGGGAUCCUGAGUACGGCAGGACACGAGGAAUCCGGUCGGAAGCAGGCGGGACCAUCCGUCAAGGCUAAAUAUCACCAGGUGAGCGAUAGUGAACAAGUACCGUGAGGGAAAGGUGAAAAGAACCGCGGGAGCGGAGUGAAAGAGAACCUGAAACCGUAUGCCUACAAGAAGUCAGAGCCCGUUAAAGGGUGAUGGCGUGCCUUUUGUAGAAUGAACCGGCGAGUUACGAUAUAGUGCGAGGUUAAGUUGGAGAGACGGAGCCGAAGCGAAAGCGAGUCUUAAUAGGGCGAUAGUAGGAUAUCGUAGACCCGAAACCAGGUGAUCUAGCCAUGACCAGGUUGAAGUUCAGGUGAAACUGAAUGGAGGACCGAACCGACCACCGUUGAAAAGUUGGCGGAUGAGUUGUGGCUAGGGGAGAAAUUCCAAUCGAACCUGGAGAUAGCUGGUUCUCCCCGAAAUAGCUUUAGGGCUAGCGUCGGGCGAUGGGACACGGAGGUAGAGCACUGAACGUACGAUGGCGCCAUCCCGGUGUACUGAGUAUGAUCAAACUGCGAAUGCCGUGUCAGAGGAGCCCGGCAGUCAGACCAUGGGUGAUAAGGUCCGUGGUCGAGAGGGAAACAGCCCAGACCGCCAGAUAAGGUCCCAAAAUACAUGCUAAGUGGAAAAGGAUGUGGGGAUGCACAGACAACUAGGAGGUUGGCUCAGAAGCAGCCACCCUUUAAAGAGUGCGUAACAGCUCACUAGUCGAGUGACCCUGCGCCGAAAAUGUACCGGGGCUAAGCAUGAUACCGAAGCUGCGGAUUCUGAUGAAUGGUAGGGGAGCGUUGCAUGCACGUGGAAGCCGUACCGGAAGGAACGGUGGAGAGCAUGGAAGAGAGAAUGCCGGUGUGAGUAGCGAGAUGCAGGUGAGAAUCCUGCACACCGAAAGCCCAAGGAUUCCAGGGGAAGGUUCGUCCGCCCUGGGUAAGUCGGGACCUAACGCGAGGCCGAAAGGCGUAGUGGAUGGAAAACAGGCAGAUAUUCCUGUACCCGUAAUGCAAGUGAUGGAGUGACGGAGAAGGCUAGUGUGACCCUAUGAAUGGAUUUAGGGCGAAGCGGAGCAGCAGGCUUACAGUGAAAUGCGUAAGCGAGAUGCAGGACGCGAAAGGUAAGCGAACGCGCGAGCAAGUAGCGAAGCACAUGAGGCCAGCUUCCAAGAAAAGCUUCUGGCGCAAAUUGGAUUACGGCCCGUACCAAAACCGACACAGGUGGGCAAGGAGAGUAUCCUAAGGUGAGCGAGAGAACUGUUGCCAAGGAACUCGGCAAAAAUACUCCGUAAGUUCGCGAGAAGGAGUGCUCUUGAGAGAGAGCCGCAGCGAAGAGGCCCAAGCGACUGUUUAACUAAAACACAGCUCUCUGCGAAGUCGCAAGACGAAGUAUAGGGGGUGACGCCUGCCCGGUGCUGGAAGGUUAAGGGGAGGAGUUAUCGAAAGAGAAGCUCUGAACCGAAGCCCCAGUGAACGGCGGCCGUAACUAUAACGGUCCUAAGGUAGCGAAAUUCCUUGUCAGGUAAGUUCUGACCCGCACGAAAGGUGUAAUGAUUUGGGCACUGUCUCGGCAGCAGACUCGGUGAAAUCUUAGUACCUGUGAAGAUGCAGGUUACCCGCAACUAGACGGAAAGACCCCAUGGAGCUUUACUGCAGUCUGCUAUUGAGUUUCGGUUGGAUAUGCACAGGAUAGGUGGGAGACGAUGAGACGUGGAUUUCGGUCUACGAGGAGUCACUGUUGGGAUACCACUCUUAUUCAACUGGAAUUCUAACUGAUAUCCGUGAUCCGGAUACAGGACCGUGGCAGAUGGGCAGUUUGACUGGGGCGGUCGCCUCCCAAAGAGUAACGGAGGCGCACAAAGGUACUCUCAGAAUGGUUGGAAAUCAUUCAGCGAGCGCAAACGCAGAAGAGUGCUUGACUGCGAGACAUACAGGUCGAGCAGGGACGAAAGUCGGUGUUAGUGAUCCGGCGGUGCAGAAUGGAAUGGCCGUCGCUUAACGGAUAAAAGCUACCCUGGGGAUAACAGGCUGAUCUCGCCCAAGAGUUCACAUCGACGGCGAGGUUUGGCACCUCGAUGUCGGCUCAUCGCAUCCUGGAGCUGGAUUCGGUUCCAAGGGUUGGGCUGUCCGCCCAUUAAAGCGGUACGCGAGCUGGGUUCAGAACGUCGUGAGACAGUUCGGUCCCUAUCUGUUGUGGGCGUUGGAAAUUUGAGGAGAGCUGCCCCUAGUACGAGAGGACCAGGGUGGACGUUCCUACGGUGCACCAGUUGUCACGCCAGUGGCACAGCUGGAUAGCUGAGAACGGACCGGAUAAACGCUGAAGGCAUCUAAGCGUGAAACCGACUCCAAGAUUAGAUUUCCCAUUGUUUCAAACAAAUAAGACCCCUUGAAGACGACGAGGUUGAUAGGUCAGGGAUGUAAGUACAGUGAUGUAUUGAGUUGACUGAUACUAAUAGGUCGAAGGUUUAUUCAC